rnacentral:rRNA from 1 species
AGAUUAAACUAAAGAGUUUGAUCCUGGCUCAGAUUGAACGCUGGCGGCAUGCCUUACACAUGCAAGUCGAACGGCAGCAUAGGAGCUUGCUCCU